GAGUGAUCACAGUUUUUGAGAAUCAUGAUGAGGCAUUAAAGAAGAGGAGGAGUGUCUCAAGGGAGGUGAGCUGGAGGUGAUGCAAGGAUGUCUGAUCUGAAAGCAUGUUGUGGUCCGCUACACACAAGAGCAAAAGAAGAGCAGGAAGGAGCUCAGUGCCAAGACCAUAGCCACAGGAAGAAAACCAGCUCUUAGGGCUGCAGCUCUAAAGACAGGCCAGGUCAUUACAGGAACGUCUGCUCCCUUAGCCUUGCCAGACAGAGGAGGGUUAAGAAAGGAACUGCUGACCCUGAUAUGCAAACUGCCACGAGUGCUUCCUGCCUUUCUAUCAGCAUCAGAUGGCUAGCGAUGGAUGGCUGUAAGAUUGAUGUGGAGAGAGGAUGCCAGACAGAUAUUUGAGCAGAACAAAGAGAGCCAACAGGAUGAAGGCAUUCCCUGGCUGGUUGGACAAGCAACUGAAGAACAGGAACAGAAGUGAAUGAAAAGAGAAGAUGCUGUGUUUGUGUUUUCUCUUGGUUAGAAUGCUGUGAGUCAGGACCUUAGCUGCUGGGUGUCCUGGGACUGCCUUCGAUGAAGAACCUGAGGCUCACCUUGCUUAAGUGACUUGAGCAGCUUCACGCAUCUUGUAAGUAGUAGAGACAGAGUCAAAACCAGAUCUUCCUGCCCUCUCUAUCAUAUAAACCACUUACACUGAAUUACAAAGUGAAACUGAUCUAUG
rnacentral:lncRNA from 10 species